rnacentral:lncRNA from 1 species
AGGGGAGGGGAGCAGGAAACCCUGCUGGUGUUAGAGGAGAAUGGAAUGUUUAAAAGAACGGGGUUUGUAAUUUCCAGGAUAAGGGCGGUUUCUGCAGUCUGGUAGAGCUGUGGGAAGCACUGACUCCAUUAGACAGCCCACUCACAGGAUAUAACGGGGAAGUAUGACCAAGUGGGUAGAGGUCACAAAAAUGCUGCGUGGUACGCUGGCUACAGACUUCUCGGGGGCCACUGUGGUUGUAUAUCCUGAAUUUCCAUCGCCUAAUGCAGAAUGAAAUGCUGAUAGCUCCUUACUUUGGAGAGUGACUGAAAGAAAACAGAUCAUUCAUACAGUAUACAACAAAGGCAUUUUAUAAUCUGAUUUGUCUACCUGUGAUGAAGAAUUUUAGUUAAUGGAAGCUGCAGCAGUCUGUCACCAGGAAAUAUACUGCUUUAUUCAGAAUGGGUCCCAGGAGGUGUUGCGGAAGGGCAAAGGAGGCUGGACAUCUCCUCUACACUCUCACAACUCCUGCAGUUCCUAGGGCUAGGCAACUUUUCCAACUCGCCUCCAUGUGCAAUGACUUCCAAGGGGUAGCUGUGGCAGCUGGGGACUGCUGGAGCACACUGCACUCUGACCAUGCCUUCCUCCCCUUACAAAUCUACUGCGGUAUGGUACGGAGCCAGCAAUGCCAGUUCUACACCCCCUGGAAUUCUCCUACACCAGAGCUUGAAGGCUCUUUUGUGCUGCUAGAAAAACCUAAAGCAGCCUUAUCAGGGCUGAGCAGCCACCCCCUUGUCUUCGUCCUCACCUGCAAAGCAUCUAGCCUGCUAUGA